rnacentral:siRNA from 1 species
GUAGCUGAAAGUGGUGGAGCUGA